rnacentral:rRNA from 1 species
CCUGACUGCUAUCGGAUUGAUACUAAGCCAUGCGAGUCAUUGUAGCAAUACAAGGCAGACGGCUCAGUAACGCGUAGUCAAUCUACCCUAUGGACGGGAAUAACCUCGGGAAACUGAGAAUAAUGCCCGAUAGAACAUUAUGCCUGGAAUGGUUUAUGUUUCAAAUGAUUUAUCGCCAUAGGAUGGGACUGCGGCCUAUCAGUUUGUUGGUGAGGUAAUGGCCCACCAAGACUAUUACAGGUACGGGCUCUGAGAGGAGUAGCCCGGAGAUGGGUACUGAGACACGGACCCAGGCCCUAUGGGGCGCAGCAGGCGAGAAAACUUUGCAAUGUGCGAAAGCACGACAAGGUUAAUCCGAGUGGUUUCUGCUAAAGAAACCUUUUGUCAGUCCUAGAAACACUAACGAAUAAGGGGUGGGCAAGUUCUGGUGUCAGCCGCCGCGGUAAAACCAGCACCUCAAGUGGUCAGGAUGAUUAUUGGGCCUAAAGCAUCCGUAGCUCGUUUUGUAAGUUUUCGGUUAAAUCCAUGCGCUUAACGUAUGGGCUGCCGGGAAUACUGCAUAACUAGGAAGUGGGAGAGGUAGACGGUACUCGGGAGGAAGGGGUAAAAUCCUUUGAUCUCUUGAUGACCACCUGUGGCGAAGGCGGUCUACCAGAACACGUUCGACGGUGAGGGAUGAAAGCUGGGGGAGCAAACCGGAUUAGAUACCCGGGUAGUCCCAGCUGUAAACUAUGCAAACUCAGUGAUGCAUUGGCUUAUGGCCAAUGCAGUGCUGCAGGGAAGCCGUUAAGUUUGCCGCCUGGGAAGUACGUACGCAAGUAUGAAACUUAAAGGAAUUGGCGGGGGAGCACCACAAGGGGUGAAGCCUGCGGUUCAAUUGGAGUCAACGCC